AGCAGCCGCGGUAAUUCCAGCUCCAAUAGCGUAUAUUAAAGUUGUUGCAGUUAAAAAGCUCGUAGUUGAAUUUCGGGGUCAGUAGAUUGGUCAUGCCUCCGGUAUGCACUGGUCUUACUGGCUCCUCCUUCCUGAUGAACCGUAAUGCCAUUAAUUUGGUGUUGCGGGGAGACUGGACUGUUACUUUGAAAAAUUAGAGUGUUUAAAGCAGGCUAACGCUUGAAUACAUUAGCAUGGAAUAAUGAAAUAGGACGUUCGAUCUUAUUUUGUUGGUUUCUAAGAUUGACGUAAUGAUUAAUAGGGAUAGUUGGGGGCAUUAGUAUUCAAUUGUCAGAGGUGAAAUUCUUGGAUUUAUUGAAGACUAACUACUGCGAAAGCAUUUGCCAAGGAUGUUUUCAUUAAUCAAGAACGAAAGUUAGGGGAUCGAAGACGAUCAGAUACCGUCGUAAGUCUUAACCAUAAACUAUGCCGACUAGGGAUCGGAUUGAUGUUAAUUUUUAAUGA
rnacentral:rRNA from 1 species